GCAUAAUUGCUUAUCCAGAGCACAAGGACAAAAUAGAAGAUGGAAACAGAAUUCUUGUCCAGAAGUUCCAAUCACAGCUAACGCAACAGCUUCGCAUCUUGCAUAAAACUGUGACAGCUUCAGCAACACAACAAGAGCAACAAUUAAAGGAUAUGGAAGAAGAUAUGCAGUCUUUUGUAUCCACAAAGACACAGGCUACUGAAGAGCUUCGAAGCCGCCUCGAGUAGUUGAAAACCAUGUAUGGUUCUGGUAUAGAAUCUCUUGACAGUUUAGCUGGGGAACUUGAUGGGAAUUCACAGUCAACUUUUGGACAUCUAAAUUCUCAGGUCUCUGGGCAUUCAUCUUCCUGACUAAGCUUUUCAAUAGUAUUGCUUCAGAGGUUGAUAAACUGCUGAAUGAUCUUCAAAAUAGUCUUCACGGUCAGGAGAGCAAACUAAUUGCAUUUGCACAGCA